GACGAACGCUGGCGGCGUGCUUAACACAUGCAAGUCGAACGGUAAGGCCCUUUCGGGGGUACACGAGUGGCGAACGGGUGAGUAACACGUGAGUAACCUGCCCUCAUCUCUGGGAUAACAGUCGGAAACGGUUGCUAAUACUGGAUAUGAGCUUGCAAGGCAUCUUGUGGGUUGGAAAGAUUUUUUUGGUUGGGGUUGGACUCGCGGCCUAUCAGCUUGUUGGUGAGGUAGUGGCUCACCAAGGCUUCGACGGGUAGCCGGCCUGAGAGGGCGACCGGCCACAUUGGGACUGAGAUACGGCCCAAACUCCUACGGGAGGCAGCAGUGGGGAAUAUUGCACAAUGGACGGAAGUCUGAUGCAGCAACGCCGCGUGCGGGAUGACGGCCUUCGGGUUGUAAACCGCUUUCAAUUGUGACGAAGCUUUUUGUGACGGUAGCAGUAGAAGAAGCACCGGCUAACUACGUG
rnacentral:rRNA from 1 species